CUCAUAAUUGUUUUCCUCUCUGAAGACCCAGAGGACACGCCUUUUGUCAUAGCGCUGUGAAAUACGUUGAGAAGACAGCAUCGGCAUUUUUGAAAAGUACUCUAGUGGCUGCCCUCUGUAGGCUAUGGAUUGAAGGUAAAGAAUUUACACUAUUCCCGUGGAUACUUUUAUUAUCAACCCAACAGAUAUGUGAUUGUUACCUGCAAUUGUUAGUGCUGCAGGAGCAUAGCCUAAAAGAUGUUUGUCUUCCUGGGACGUCCAGAACAAUAUGGCAAAGAAAGUGAUGUUUGACAUGAGUAGGAGUUGACCAGUUCUGGUUUCCUGUCUCUGUUGAUUUCCAGUCGCCCCUCUGGUGGUGAUGUCACCUUCUCCCAUUGCUGUCAGUUCCUGGAGCUGCUGUCUGACACUGACACGAGCAUCAUGCCAGUUACGAACUUCUACGGAAAGUCAGGGGAUAACAGGGUAAUUGUACCAUAGGCCAGGGAAGAAUUCCAAAUUCUCUCUUCAUGGACUUGCAAUUCCCUGUCACAGGGAGUUUCUCACUGGCCAGCUUUCUCUUUUGACCCUGAACUUUCACCAUCUUGGAAGCUUCUAUUUUUCUUCCCACCAAACCUCUCACAAUCAUGGAGGUUGGGCCCUAA